ensembl:misc_RNA Metazoa_SRP Metazoan signal recognition particle RNA
GCCGGGCAUGGUGGUGCAUGCCUGUAGUCCCAGCUACUUGGGAGGCUGAGGCAGGAGAGUAGCUUGAACCCGGGAGGUGGAGGUUGCAGUGAGCCAAGAUUGUGCCACUGCACUCCAGCCUGGGUGAGAGAGCAAGACUCUGUCUCAA